rnacentral:tRNA from 1 species
GCAUUGGUGGUUCAGUGGUAGAAUUCUCGCCUGCCACGCGGGAGACCUGGGUCCGAUUCCUGGACAAUGCA